CCUACGGGUGGCUGCAGUGGGGAAUAUUGCUCAAUGGGGGAAACCCUGAUGCAGCGACGCCGCGUGAGGGAAGAAGUACUUCGUUACGUAAAGCCCUAUUAGUAGGGAAGAAAAUGACGGUACCUGAGUAAGAAGCCCCGGCUAACUACGUGCCAGCAGCCGCGGUAAUACGUAGGGGGCAAGCGUUAUCCGGAUUUACUGGGUGUAACGGGAUCGUAGACGGGACGCCAAGGCUGGUGUGAAAUGCCGGGGCUUAAAUGUGGAACUGCUUUGGAAACUGGCGAACUAGAGUGCGGGAGGGGUAAGCGGAAUUCCUGGUGUAGCGGUGAAAUGCGUAGAGAUUAGGAGGAACACCGAUGGCGAAGGCGGCUUACUGGAACAUAACUGACGUUGAGGCUCGAAAGCGUGGGGAGCAAACAGGAUUAGAUACCCUUGUAGUC
rnacentral:rRNA from 1 species